UACGGAGGGUGCAAGCGUUGUUCGGAAUCACUGGGCGUAAAGCGCGCGUAGGCGGCCUAUUAAGUCAGGUGUGAAAGCCCUCGGCUCAACCAGGGAACUGCAUCUGAGACUGGUAGGCUUGAGUACGGGAGAGGAGGGUGGAAUUCCCGGUGUAGAGGUGAAAUGCGUAGAUAUCGGGAAGAACACCGAUGGCGAAGGCGGCUCUCUGGACCGAUACUGACGCUGAGGCGCGAAAGCGUGGGGAGCAAACAGG
rnacentral:rRNA from 1 species